rnacentral:rRNA from 1 species
UUGGAGGGCAAGUCUGGUGCCAGCAGCCGCGGUAAUUCCAGCUCCAAUAGCGUAUAUUAAAGUUGUUGCAGUUAAAAAGCUCGUAGUUGAAUUUCGGAAUCAAUUUGUUGGUCGUGCCUCGGUACGUACUGGCAUUAUUGGUUUCUACCUUCUGAAGAACCUUGAUGUCAUUAAUUUGGUGUCUUGGGGAAUCAGGACUGUUACUUUGAAAAAAUUAGAGUGUUUAAAGCAGGCAUACGCUUGAAUACAUUAGCAUGGAAUAAUGAAAUAGGACGUUUGAUUCUAUUUUGUUGGUUUCUAGGAUCGACGUAAUGAUUAAUAGGGAUAGUUGGGGGCAUUAGUAUUCAAUUGUCAGAGGUGAAAUUCUUGGAUUUAUUGAAGACUAACUACUGCGAAAGCAUUUGCCAAGGAUGUUUUCAUUAAUCAAGAACGAAAGUUAGGGGAUCGAAGACGAUCAGAUACCGUCGUAGUCUUAACCAUAAACUAUGCCGACUAGGGAUCGGAUGAUGUUAAUUUUUUAAUGACUCAUUCGGCGCCUUACGGGAAAC